AUGAACGCUAGCGAUAGGCUUAACACAUGCAAGUCGAGGGGCAGCAUGGUCUUAGCUUGCUAAGACUGAUGGCGACCGGCGCACGGGUGCGUAACGCGUAUGCAACUUGCCUCACAGAGGGGGAUAACCCGUCGAAAGACGGACUAAUACCGCGUACACUCCAUCUUGGGCAUCCAAGGUAGAGGAAAUGAAAUUCGCUGUGAGAUAGGCAUGCGUCCCAUUAGCUAGUUGGUGAGGUAACGGCUCACCAAGGCGACGAUGGGUAGGGGAACUGAGAGGUUGAACCCCCACACUGGUACUGAGACACGGACCAGACUCCUACGGGAGGCAGCAGUGAGGAAUAUUGAUCAAUGGGCGAGAGCCUGAACCAGCCAAGUCGCGUGAAGGAUGACUGUCUUAUGGAUUGUAAACUUCUUUUAUACGGGAAUAACAAGAGUCACGUGUGACUCCCUGCAUGUACCGUAUGAAUAAGCAUCGGCUAACUCCGUG
rnacentral:rRNA from 1 species